ACACGGGGGUUGCAAGCGUUGUCCGGAAUUACUAGGCGUAAAGGGCAGGUAGGCGGAUCUAUAAGUUUGAUGGUUAAAGGCAGCGGCUCACCCGCUGUAGGGCCUCAGAUACUGUAGAUCUGGAAUACGGUUGAGGAAGACAGAAUUCCUGGUGUAGCGGUGGAAUGCGCAGAGAUCAGGAGGAAUACCAAAGGCGAAGGCAGUCUUCUAAGCCGUUAUUGACGCUAAACUGCGAAGGUGUGGGUAUCAAACAGGAUUAGAUACCCUGGUAGUCCACACAGUAAACGAUAAUCACUAGGUGUCGGGUUCGAUAAGGAUUCGGUGCCGCAGCUAACGCGUUAAGUGAUUCGCCUGGGGAGUACGAUCGCAAGGUUGAA
rnacentral:rRNA from 1 species